rnacentral:rRNA from 1 species
CCUACGGGAGGCAGCAGUGAGGAAUAUUGGUCAAUGGACGAGAGUCUGAACCAGCCAAGUAGCGUGAAGGAUGACUGCCCUAUGGGUUGUAAACUUCUUUUAUAUGGGAAUAAAAUGUUCCACGUGUGGGAUUUUGUAUGUACCAUAUGAAUAAGGAUCGGCUAACUCCGUGCCAGCAGCCGCGGUAAUACGGAGGAUCCGAGCGUUAUCCGGAUUUAUUGGGUUUAAAGGGAGCGUAGGUGGAUUGUUAAGUCAGUUGUGAAAGUUUGUGGCUCAACCGUAAAAUUGCAGUUGAAACUGGCAGUCUUGAGUACAGUAGAGGUGGGCGGAAUUCGUGGUGUAGCGGUGAAAUGCUUAGAUAUCACGAAGAACUUCGAUUGCGAAGGCAGUUCACUGGACUGCAACUGACACUGAGGCUCGAAAGUGUGGGUAUCAAACAGGAUUAGAUACCCGGGUAGUC